AGCAGAGGUUAAAGUUCACAUUACACAAUCUGUAAGGCACAGUUUAAAUCAUUAAACAGCCUUCCUAGGCUGUUCCUGUUUUCACGCCCCCACAAAUCAGCUUUUCUAGUCCUUUACUUUCUUUUUUCUUCUUCUCUCUCUCCCCUUCUCCCCUCUCCCUCUCUCUGCCUCCCCUGCCCUUUCCAGUGCUGGGAAUGGAACCCAAGGCUUCAUGCAUGCUAGCAUAAAGAAGAGGAAGAGGGCUCCAAGCUAACUUACGAGCAGGAGGGAUGCUGGAGACAGGACCCGCAAAGGUGUGUGCCUGGUAAUGCUCCACCAGAUGACCCUUCAGGUGCUGGACAUGCUGCCAACAAAUAACCUCCACUGUCGGCUCUGGACAGGAAGUGGCCAGGCUGUGGGGCAUCGUCUUGCUCAAGUUCACAUCCCUGUCCUGGGGCAGCCUGCACCCGAUGGCAGGGAGAGCUGGGUUAUAAAGACUCAGCCCCUUGAACCUGCACCCAGGACAAUCAGAGUAGCAUUCUUGCAUUAGGAGACUGUGUCACAGCUCAGCUUCUUCACCUGCCUCUUCCAGAGAUGGGAAUCCCCAGAGCUCUUCCUUACAUGUUCCCGAGUGCUGAUCUCUAUCUCAGAGUCUGCUUCUCAAGGAACCCAACUGAAGCAAUGUCCUGGAAGAAUUUAGAAGCAUUUUUAAACAAUGUGACAUUCCCAUAUCUUCUCAAAAAAAAACACAAAAAACUAAAUUAAAGCUAAAAUUUAAAAAUACUUCCUUUAGUGCAGUAAAGCUCUUAACAGGCAAAUGAUAAGUGUUCUGUACACAUCCGUUCUUGACUCCGCAGUAUGGGUCUCACUGGAGAGCAUAUUAGAAUUGCAGAAUCCAGUGAAAUCAGAAUGUGUAUUUGAACAAGAUUUUCAGAGGAUUCUAAUGUGUAGCAUUGUUGGAUAAACCCUGCCCCACAGGACAAGUGGGUGAGGAUGAUCCCACAGGAAUGCUGACUGGUAGCAGAAGUAUCCCGGCCCCUUCUUUCUGCCCAGCGGGAGGAAGCUGUUUUUAGUUCAGAUGGUACUGUUCCUUCUAAAAGGAGUUUAAAGACAUGCGUCUUUCACAGAGCAGUCACAAAGAGGCAGAAAACACAGAGAGAUGGUCAGGAAAUGAGCAUCAGUGUUAAGCAAACGGGAAAAGACACCUCCAAAAUGAAGUCCCAGCACUUCUCAGAGCACAGAGGAAAGAGGAAAAGCCUCCCUGGAAAUACAAUCACUGGACUUUGAAUCCAGCAGUGAUUUCAAUCUUUCCCAAAUGGCAAUAAGGAAUCUAGUCUACGAAGCCUUCCAUGUAGCAGCAGGGAUAUUCAGGCGGAGUCUGACCUCUGAGUAGCCUUGCUAAUAAGCGCCCUACAGUAGGCAAGAACAGGCGAGUGACACUCAUGACAAUGUUGCUCCACUAUGAUCCAUUUAUGUUGAGCUUUGGCCUAUUCUCACUGAAGAACAAGGACAGCCACACUACAACAAGGACAAGCCAUUCUACAGGAAGGACAAGCAGCUGCCAGGAGGAGAGGCAGGGGCUCCCAGUUCCCAGGGACACACAGCUAACUCAUCCCACCAUGUCUCAACUCAGAAUGCAGCAAGCAAACCUGCAUAGAUUCCCUGGGCAGCCCUCACAGCCCAACCUUUAAUCCUCACAAGUCAGGACAGCUAUCUCCUCUCCAAGUGGAAAUUCCCAUCAGCCACUCAGACAGGAAAUGGAAAUGCUUGCCAGUUUACAGAUCAGCAAUUAAAGGCUAUUAGAAUCAUGUUACUGAAAAAAUAUUAGAAGGCAACCAAUGAAAUCAGGAGAUUAAAGGAUAUCUGUGUCUCUG
ensembl:lncRNA